AAUAUUGGACAAUGGGUGAGAGCCUGAUCCAGCCAUCCCGCGGGCAGGAAGAAUGCCUUAUGGGUUGUAAACUGCUUUUAUACAGGAAUAAACCACUUUACGUGUAAGGGGUGGAAGGUACUGUAGUAAUAAGCAUCGGCUAACUCCGUGCCAGCAGCCGCGGUAAUACAGAUGAUGCAAGCGUUAUCCGGAUUUAUUGGGUUUAAAGGGCCCGUAGGCGGGCAUAUAAGUCAGAGGUGAAAUCCGCCAGCUUAACUGUCGAACUGCCUUUGAUACUGUUUGGCUUGAGUGAGAUUGAAGAUGCUAGAAUGUGUAGUGUAGCGGUGAAAUGCAUAGAUAUUACACAGAACACCGAUGGCGAAGGCAGCUUGCUAGGUUAUUACUGACGCUGAUGGGCGAAAGCGUGGGGAGCAAACA
rnacentral:rRNA from 1 species